ACCGGAGGCCAUCGUCUGGCCGGUGCCAACCCGUGGAUCGGCACCACCAUCUGCACAGGCAAUAGCCCCAAGGCCGAUCAUGAACUAAGAUUGAAACCGGACCACCCUAUGGGGUCAGGCCAGUGCGGUAACACGUACUGGAGGUCCGAACCCACUAACGUUGAAAAGUUAGGGGAUGAGCUGUGGAUAGGGGUGAAAGGCUAAACAAACCUGGAAAUAGCUGGUUCUCUCCGAAAACUAUUUAGGUAGUGCCUCGUGUCUCACCUUCGGGGGUAGAGCACUGUCAUGGUUGGGGGGUCUAUUGCAGAUUACCCCGCCAUAGCAAACUCCGAAUACCGAAGAGUGCAAUCACGGGAGACAGACAUCGGGUGCUAACGUCCGGUGUCAAGAGGGAAACAACCCAGACCGCCAGCUAAGGUCCCCAAAUAUAGCUAAGUGGGAAACGAAGUGGGAAGGCUAAAACAGUCAGGAGGUUGGCUUAGAAGCAGCCACCCUUUAAAGAAAGCGUAAUAGCUCACUGAUCGAGUCGUCCUGCGCGGAAGAUGUAACGGGGCUAAGCUAUAUACCGAAGCUGCGGAUGCGUGCUUAGCACGCAUGGUAGGAGAGCGUUCCGUAAGCCUGCGAAGGUGCCUUGUAAAGGGUGCUGGAGGUAUCGGAAGUGCGAAUGCUGACAUGAGUAGCGAUAAAGGGGGUGAAAGGCCCCCUCGCCGUAAGCCCAAGGUUUCCUACGCAACGUUCAUCGGCGUAGGGUGAGUCGGCCCCUAAGGCGAGGCAGAAAUGCGUAGCUGAUGGGAAGCAGGUCAAUAUUCCUGCACCAUUGUUAGAUGCGAUGGGGGGACGGAUCGCGGAAGGUUGUCCGGGUGUUGGAAGUCCCGGUCGCUGCAUUGGAGAAGGCGCUUAGGCAAAUCCGGGCGCGUAAUUCAAGGGUGUGGCGCGAGCUCCUUCGGGAGCGAAGCAAUUGGAAGUGGUUCCAAGAAAAGCCUCUAAGCUUCAGUCUAACGAUGACCGUACCGCAAACCGACACAGGUGGGCGAGAUGAGUAUUCUAAGGCGCUUGAGAGAACUCGGGAGAA
rnacentral:rRNA from 1 species